AGCAGCCGCGGUAAUUCCAGCUCCAAUAGCGUAUAUUAAAGUUGUUGCAGUUAAAAGCUCGUAGUUGAAUUUCGGGAUCAAUGCGUCGGUCGUGCUUUCGGGUACGUACUGGUGUCAUUGGUUUCUCCUUUCUGACGAGCCGUGAUGUCAUUAGUUUGGUGUUACGUGUAGUUAGGACUGUUACUUUGAAAAAAUUUAGNGUGUU
rnacentral:misc_RNA from 1 species